UGCGUAUUCGUGUAUGUGUGUGUGUGACAGAGAGAGAGAGGAAGAGAGGGAGAGGAGGGGGAGAUUCAGAGUCCUGCUUUCCUGAGCUGAGAGCUGCUGGUUCCCAAGCCGAAAGUAUUAGGAGAAACACGGCUUCUUGUGUCUUUGCUGCAUUUGCACAAUGAAAUCACUUCUAUUUUUAUUCUUGCUAACCGGCCGCUUUUGCUUGAAUCCACUCCGAGCCAUGGACGACGGGAACAAAAAAAAAAAAAAACUACUUAAAACCAACUAAACCAAAAAAAUAAAAUAAAAAAAAAAGGAAAAGAAAACCCUAACAAACCCAACCACGCUGGGAUGAGGAUUACUCACUUUAGCGCUGCCUGGACCCGGCCGGGCGGCGCGGGUCUGGGAUUGUGCCGGGUUUCAAGGACACGGGAGAUGAUCAGGACUUUGGGAGCCAACAUCUGCCUGGCUGGUGACGUCAGCAACCCCGUGUAAUCCUCUUGUACUGAAGGCAGAUGCCUUAUUUGUUUGGCUGGAGAGGCAUUAAUCCCUAAUUCUGGAGCAGCAAGCGAGGGGGAGAGACCGGACCGCUUCCUAUCCCCCGAAAGCAGCUAGAGGGGCUCUCCUCUCCUGAGCUCCCCGGCUCCGACUGGGUGGAGGAGCCGCCAGCCCUCGGCAGGCGGCCGCACGCAGGAGCUACGGUGCCGAGGGGGCCCGGAGCCGCCUUCCCGGUUUGCCCCCGGAUGCCCCAGCAAGCUACGGGAAAAGUCUCAGGGAAGCCCAGCUCGCCGCAGGAUCCCACCGCCGCCCGCGGCCGCAGCACAUCCCGCCUCGCCUCCUCUCUCUCUCGCGGGCCCUGGCGCCGAGGAAGCAGUCGAGGUCAGCUGUCCGGUUCCUGCGGUCCGGCCGUGCUGGAGCUCGCAGGGUGAUGCGAGGUGCCCGGCUGCUCCGCUCCUCCCGGCGCGCCCUCGGCACCGAAAAGGAAUGAAUGGUCCCGAUCCUGAGCCGUGAAAGAUGGCAAAAAGCGUAAUAAUAAUAAUAAUAUAAUAAAAACUUAGGCUAUUUUUUUUUAA